GAUCAUGGCUCAGGAUGAACGCUAGCGGCAGGCUUAACACAUGCAAGUCGAGGGGCAGCAUAAUGGAUAGCAAUAUCUAUGGUGGCGACCGGCGCACGGGUGCGUAACGCGUAUGCAACCUACCUUUAACAGGGGGGAUAACACUGAGAAAUUGGUACUAAUACCCCAUAAUAUCAUAGAAGGCAUCUUUUAUGGUUGAAAAUUCCGAUGGUUAGAGAUGGGCGAUGCGUCGUA
rnacentral:rRNA from 1 species